CUCUCUCUCUCUCUCUCGCUUUUUCCCCCCUCUCUCUUUCUCUUUCUCUCUCUCUCUCUCCGCUCUUUCUCCUCACACGCUGAUCGUGCUUCAACGUACCGAGCGUGCAACGAUCACCCGAUGCUGACUCGCACGACGGCGACGGCGACGGCGGCAGCGGCGACGGCUUUCCCUGGCAGAAAACGUCGACUGCCGCGCGCGCGCUACUGCGAGGGGGUCGGUGACGGCGACAAAGCGUUCUCCCCGGCUUUUCCAGGGGUUCCUCUCUCUCUCUCUCUCUCUCUCUCUCUCUCCUUUUCCUCCCUCUCCCCCCGCGCUCCCCUUCGUCGCGCGCGCACGCUUUUACGCCCUCUCCUCUCGAUGAUCUUCCUCUCUCCUCCUGCUGCCCCGCGGCCACGAUGCGUUUACUCUCUCUCUCUCUCUCUCUCUCUCUUCAUCUCGAUUCUCUCGCUCCUCAUCCUCUUCCUCCUCCUCCUCCUCCUGCUCCUCUUCCCUCCUCCCGCGGAGGACGGAGGACCGCGAGGUGUCCCGGGCGUAGUGAGCAGCUCUCACCCGCUUUAUCCACCCUCGCACAGCGCCUGCGCGUCCCGGGGAUGUUCCCCUCGCUCACCUCCGCGUGCUCUCCUUCUGCCUCCCUGACCAUCCGUCCUGCGGAUGCCCUCUCGGUCUCUUUCUCUCCUCUCGCGGUCCACGCCGCCCCUCCUUCGUCCCCAUUCUCUCCUCUCACCACGCUGUUCUCCGCAAGCGCUCGCCUCCUCUUUCGCCUGUUACCCGCUUUUCUUCUCUAUCCCUCUUUUCUGUUAGGUGGCCGCGCUGCUUUUAUCGGCCGUGUCCUCUUCCUCUCGCUCGUGUUAUCUCGGAGGACCAUGCACGCUCCUCGAGCUGAAGCCAGCCUCUCCCUCCGGCCACCCUCCCCCCGCCCGAGCACCAAGUUUUUUGGCCGGAACUCUUACGACGGAUCGAAUUUGAAUGCGUGCGGGACGCGAAAGCGGGUCACGGUUCCGUCUCCUUCCAAAAGAAACGCAGCGAAACGCAACGAAACUGUGUUCGCCGAGCGAAAACAGUUUUCAUUGGCGACCUGCUUUUUUUUCGUAUAGAACGGAGAGAAAACGAAACUAAAAGGAAAAAAGAGAAAACGGAGCUUGCAAUCUGUCCUUAAACUUCAUUUUAAAUUUAAUUUUCUAUUUUUUAGCACUCGCAUAAAUUCGCAAACCGCCGCGUGAGACAAAUUUAUUUCUCUCUCGCGCAAGAUGAGAGAAAGAGAGAGAGAGAGAGAGAGAGAGAGAGAGAGAGAGAGAGAAUAAGAACGCAUGACAUAGAUGAAUUACCGGUAUUAAAAGCGCGGGAUUACACAACGCGCUUGCAUUGUGAUACAAUAAAUUGUCUUUGCACGGAUAAAGACGUCGACGCUCGAUCGCCGAAUUUUUUUCGAACAUUAUUCGACGAACCGUCGUUAUUUAUGUUCACACCUAUGGGAUGUGCACGAGAAUCGAGGCUUAAAGCCUGACUUUAAAUCGAAACACCAGCUUUAAGCGGAGCUUCGAGAUAUAAAAAAAAAAGGGAAAAGAGACCCAGGUGAUAUCUCACAGCCGUUCGCAAUCGUUCCCUUAUGCGAGGCGUCGUUCGUGAACUCACGACGAGUGCAGAUAUCAUUGAGAGCGUGAUGAUUGAAAUCGAGCUGGGCGAUGCUGGCGACUCAGUAGGACCUCGAUGACAAUCCCGGCGCAUUAAAUAAUAAAAGGCACGACCAAAAUGCCAUUGGGAUCUCUAUUGCAAAUAGCCACAAUUUUGCGGAAUAGCGAUGGUCGCUGCGAUCGAUACAACAUGCGGUGCACCUAUAUCGGGAAACAUUGACUGAGUUGCAGCGGACCUUCGUAAUUUUCGACAGGAGUUUGCAGAACACGUGGAGCGAACUAAUUCGAUUAUGGACAAUCUGACCGCGCCGAGGGAAAAUUUAAAGUUCACUCAAGCAGCGCGCACGCGAUGCUGUAAUUGCCGAUUCCGCUAUUAUUUCAUUAGCCUAAUGUGUGUGUGCAACAAUGUAAAUUAUUAGGACGUAACAUGAAAUACCGCGGCAGCACCCGUGAUUUCUUCAUUAAAUUGAAGAAUCGAAUGAUCGUGAUACAUUGCACUUUAAUUACACGUGCCACGGGUGCGCGUAUACGAUUCCUAUAUUUUUGCGACGUAAUUAAAUGAAGAAUCAAUGUCAAUUUUACGAUGUUAAAUUGAAAUCAUUUGCGUAGCGUGUACUGCGCAUGAUGAUAAGGUAAACUGAUACUGUAGUAUAACAUACAUGUACAACAUACAUCUACAAUAUACAAUAAUGUUGCGUGUAUGUCACGAACACUA
rnacentral:lncRNA from 13 species